CCUACGGGUGGCUGCAGUGAGGAAUAUUGGUCAAUGGACGGGAGUCUGAACCAGCCAAGUAGCGUGAAGGAUUAAUGCCCUAUGGGUUGUAAACCUCUUUUAUCUGGGAAUAAAAUGUUCCACGUGUGCGGUUCUGUAUGUUCCCUAUGAAUAAGGCUUCGCUAACUCCGUGCCAGCAGCCGCGGUAAUUCGGAGGAUCCGAGCGUUAUCCGGAUUUAUUGGGUUUAAAGGGUGCGUAGGUGGAUUGUUAAGUCAGUUGUGAAAGUUUGCGGCUCAACCGUAAAAUUGCAGUUGAAACUGGCAGUCUUGAGUACGGUAGAGGUGGGCGGAAUGCGUGGUGUAGCGGUGAAAUGCUUAGAUAUCACGAAGAACUCCGAUUGCGAAGGCAGCACACUGGACUGCAACUGACACUGAGGCUCGAAAGUGUGGGUAUCAAACAGGAUUAGAUACCCUAGUAGUC
rnacentral:rRNA from 1 species